CAGCAGCCGCGGGAAUACGUAGGUGGCAAGCGUUGUCCGGAAUUAUUGGGCGUAAAGCGCGCGCAGGUGGUUUAAUAAGUCUGAUGUGAAAGCCCACGGCUCAACCGUGGAGGGUCAUUGGAAACUGUUAAACUUGAGUGCAGGAGAGAAAAGUGGAAUUCCUAGUGUAGCGGUGAAAUGCGUAGAGAUUAGGAGGAACACCAGUGGCGAAGGCGGCUUUUUGGCCUGUAACUGACACUGAGGCGCGAAAGCGUGGGGAGCAAACAGGAUUAGAUACCCGUGUAGUCCCUGUCUCUUAUAC
rnacentral:rRNA from 1 species